UACGUAGGGGGCUAGCGUUGUCCGGAAUCAUUGGGCGUAAAGAGCGUGUAGGCGGUCCGGUAAGUCCGCUGUGAAAGUCGGGGGCUCAACCCUCGAAUGCCGGUGGAUACUGUCGGGCUAGAGUGCGGAAGAGGCGAGUGGAAUUCCUGGUGUAGCGGUGGAAUGCGUAGAGAUCAGGAAGAACACCGGUGGCGAAGGCGGCUUGCUGGGCCAUUUCUGACGCUGAGGCGCGAAAGCGUGGGGAGCAAACAGG
rnacentral:rRNA from 1 species